rnacentral:tRNA from 1 species
GGAGAGAUGCGAGAGCGGUUGAAUCGGACGGUCCCGAAAACCGUUGAACCUCCGGGUUCCGAGGGUUCGAAUCCCUCUCUCUCCG